AUGACUUUACUCUGGUCUCACAGGAAAUGGCCUGAUCCUGAUCAAAGUGCACGUCAUCAUCAUCGUCAUAAUCAUCAUCAUUUCGUCAUCGUCGUCGUCAUCGUCAUCAUCGUCAUCCUCAUCAUCGUCAUCCUCAUCAUCGUCGUCAUCGUCAUCAUCAUCAUCAUCAUCAUCGUCGUCAUCAACGCCAUUGUCAUCGUCAUCAUCAUCAUCGUCAUCAUCAUCGUCAUCAUCAUUUCGUCAUCGUCGUCGUCAUCGUCAUCAUCGUCGUCAUCGUCAUCAUCAUCAUCAUCAUCAUCAUCGUCGUCAUCAACGCCAUUGUCAUCGUCAUCAUCAUCAUCGUCAUCAUCGUCAUCAUCAUCGUCAUCAUCAUCAUCAUUUCGUCAUCGUCGUCGUCAUCAUCGUCAUCCUCAUCAUCGUCGUCAUCGUCAUCAUCAUCAUCUUCAUCAUCGCCAUUGUCGUCAUUGUCGUCUUCAUCAUCAUCAUCAUCGUCGUCAUCGUCAACAUCAUCAUUGUCAUCAUCAUCAUCAUCAUCGUCGUCAUCAACGCCAUUGUCGUCGUCAUCAUCAUCAUCAUCAUCAUCGUCAUCAACGCCAUUGUCAUCGUCAUCAUCAUCAUCGUCAUCAUCGUCAUCAUCAUCGUCAUCAUCAUCAUCAUUUCGUCAUCGUCGUCGUCAUCAUCGUCAUCCUCAUCAUCGUCGUCAUCGUCAUCAUCAUCAUCUUCAUCAUCGCCAUUGUCGUCAUUGUCGUCUUCAUCAUCAUCAUCAUCGUCGUCAUCGUCAACAUCAUCAUUGUCAUCAUCAUCAUCAUCAUCGUCGUCAUCAACGCCAUUGUCGUCGUCAUCAUCAUCAUCAUCAUCAUCAUCAUCAACGCCAUUGUCAUCGUCAUCAUCAUCAUCGUCAUCAUCAUCAUCAUCAUCAUCAUCAUCGUCAUCAUCAUCGUCAUCAUCAUCAUCAUUUCGUCAUCGUCGUCGUCAUCGUCAUCAUCGUCAUCGUCAUCAUCAUCAUCUUCAUCAUCGCCAUUGUCGUCAUUGUCGUCUUCAUCAUCAUCAUCAUCGUCGUCAUCGUCAACAUCAUCAUUGUCAUCAUCAUCAUCAUCAUCGUCGUCAUCAACGCCAUUGUCGUCGUCAUCAUCAUCAUCAUCAUCAUCAUCGUCGUCAUCAACGCCAUUGUCAUCGUCAUCAUCAUCAUCGUCAUCAUCAUCGUCGUCAUCAUCAUCGUCGUCAUCAUCAUCAUCGUCCUCUUCGUCGUCCUCCUCAUCAUCAUCAUCGUCAUCCUCAUCCUCAUCAUCGUCAUCAUCUUUAAAAGAAAGAUUCUGUUUUCAUCUCAAGUAA
rnacentral:lncRNA from 1 species